CCCUCACCCAGCUGCUGCGGCGGAGAGACGGAGGCCAGCGCGGGGAGCGGAAGCCGGAGCCUGUCGGGAGCGACCCCGGGAAGGCCAGUCCCUCCUGCCGGAGGGAGGCGUGUUGGCGUGCGGCCGGUGGCGGGAUCGAUGGCCACCUGGUAGGCGAUGCUGCUGCGGCGGAGAGACGGAGGCCAGCGCGGGGAGCGGAAGCCGGAGCCUGUCGGGAGCGACCCGGGAAGGCCAGUCCCUCCUGCCGGGGAGGCGUGUUGGCGUGCGGCCGGUGGCGGGAUCGAUGGCCAC
rnacentral:lncRNA from 1 species